UACGAAGGGGGCUAGCGUUGCUCGGAAUCACUGGGCGUAAAGGGUGCGUAGGCGGGUCUUUAAGUCAGGGGUGAAAUCCUGGAGCUCAACUCCAGAACUGCCUUGAUACUGAAGAUCGUUGAGUCGGGAGAGGUGAGUGGAACUGCGAGUGUAGAGGUGAAAUUCGUAGAUAUCGCAAGACACCAGUGGCGAAGGCGGCU
rnacentral:rRNA from 1 species